GCCAAUACAUGUGAAAAUUUUCGUGACAUUCGACUAUUUUACGAAUUAUUUUUAGCAAGAUAGAAAAUAAUAGUCUUGUUGUUAGUAGAAGGGAGCCCGCUAAGAAGAAUGUCGAAAAAUUACAUAAAUGAAAUCCAAAGAUCCAGAAGAGUAGCUAGCCAUCUUUUUAAGUUUCUCUGGUGAGCGUUCUUCAAAGAUGCAAUAUACCUUGGUCCAGUUCGGUCCGUAGAGCAGUAAGUUGCUGACGAACGUCGAUGAACAGCCAAAUUAAACUAGCGGUUGCUAA